rnacentral:rRNA from 1 species
UACGGGGGGGGUAAGCGUUGUUCGGAAUUACUGGGCGUAAAGGGCUCGUAGGCGGCCAACUAAGUCGGACGUGAAAUCCCUCAGCUUAACUGGGGAACUGCGUCCGAUACUGGAUGGCUUGGAUUUGGGAGAGGGAUGCGGAAUUCCAGGUGUAGCGGUGAAAUGCGUAGAUAUCUGGAGGAACACCGGUGGCGAAGGCGGCAUCCUGGACCAAUAUUGACGCUGAGUGAGCGAAAGCCAGGGGAGCAAACGGG